rnacentral:rRNA from 1 species
UGGGGAAUAUUGCGCAAUGGGCGGAAGCCUGACGCAGCGACGCCGCGUGGGGGAUGACGGCCUUCGGGUUGUAAACCUCUUUCGGCCUCGACGAAGCCUUCGGGUGACGGUAGGGGUGGAAGAAGCACCGGCCAACUACGUGCCAGCAGCCGCGGUAAUACGUAGGGUGCGAGCGUUGUCCGGAAUUAUUGGGCGUAAAGAGCUCGUAGGCGGUGUGUCACGUCGGCCGUGAAAACCUGCAGCUUAACUGUGGGCGUGCGGUCGAUACGGGCAUCACUGGAGUUCGGCAGGGGAGACUGGAAUUCCUGGUGUAGCGGUGAAAUGCGCAGAUAUCAGGAGGAACACCGGUGGCGAAGGCGGGUCUCUGGGCCGAUACUGACGCUGAGGAGCGAAAGCGUGGGGAGCAAACA